GGCUCCAGCAUUAUCGGCCGAAACUAUUAAAGAAAAAAGUCCUCGGGGCCAGAUGGAUGACAAGGUGAUGGUAGUUCUCCUCGCCGUGUUCUUGGCAUCAUGCUUCCUUUCCCCUGCAAUGUGCCAAGGUGAUGUCGCAGAGAGAUCGACAGGCGGCGAUCACGGCCGGUUGCCGCCGGACAGCCAAGAGAUAACUGAGGGAAGCAAGUUCAGAUUUAGACUAUGCUUGAAAACCUUUUGUGGCGCUCACUUUAAGACCUGCUACUGCUGCCUAGUGCUGCCCAGUGCCCCUUGCUACUACACACAGCAACCGUGCUGGGACAUCUGCCCCGGUGCUGCACAACCCCUGCAACGCCUGGCCGCUGCGCCGAAGGCACUGUCUCCGGCCGAUUUUAAUUGACUGUAGAGGGAUUCUGUUUGUCAGUUUGAGUUCCCUACUGGUUGAUUUGAAUAAAAUUUCGAAGGCUGAUCUGCUUACCAAAACA